AUGUUCAAGCUGGUUUUAGAAAAGGCAGAGGAACCAGAGAUCAAAUUGGCCAACAUCCUCUGGAUCAUGGAAAAGGCAAGAGAGUUCCAGAAAAACAUCUAUUUCUGCUUUAUUGACUAUGCCAAAGCCUUUGACUGUGUGGAUCACCAUAAACUCUGGAAUAUUCUGAAAGAGAUGGGAAUACCAGACCACCUGACCUACCUCUUGAGAAACCUAUAUGCAGGUCAGGAAGCAACAGUUAGAACUGGACAUGAAACAACAGACUGGUUUCAAAUAGGAAAAGGAGUAUGUCAAGGCUGUAUAUUGUCACCCUGCUUAUUUAACUUAUAUGCAGAGUACAUCAUGAGAAACGCUGGACUGGAAGAAACACAAGCUAGAAUCAAGAUUGCCAGGAGAAAUAUCCAUAACCUCAGAUAUGCAGAUGACACCACCCUUAUGGCAAAAAGUGAAGAGGAACUAAAAAGCCUCUUGAUGAGAGUGAAAGAGGAAAGUGAAAAAGUUGGCUUAAAGCUCAACAUUCAGGAAACAAAGAUCAUGGCAUCUGGUCCCAUCACUUCAUGGAAAAUAGAUGGGGAAACAGUGGAAAUAGUAUCAGACUUUAUUUUGGGGGGCUUCAAAAUCACUGCAGAUGGUGACUGCAGCCAUGAAAUUAAAAGACGCUUACUCCUUGGAAGGAAAGUUAUGACCAAUCUAGAUAGCAUAUUCAAAAGCAGAGACAUUACUUUGCCAAUAAUGGUCUGUCUAGUCAAGGCUAUGGUUUUUCCAGUGGUCAUGUAUGGAUGUGAGAAUUGGACUGUGAAGAAGGCUGAGUGUCGAAGAAUUGAUGCUUCUGAACUGUGGUGUUGGAGAAGACUCCUGAGAGUCCCUUGGACUAUAAGGAGAUCCAAUCAGUCCAUUCUAAAGGAGAUCAGCCCUGGGUGUUCUUUGGAAGGAAUGAUGCUAAAGCUGAAACUCCAGUAUUUUGGCCACCUCAUGCAAAGAGCUGACUCAUUGGAAAAGACCCUGAUCCUGGGAAAGAUUGGUGGCAGGAAGAGAAGAGGACGACAGAGGAUGAGAUGGCUGGUUGGCAUCAUUGACUCAAUGGACGUGAGUCUGGGUGAACUCCGGGAGUUGGUUAUGGACAGGGAUGCCUGGCGUGCUGUGAUUCUUGGGGUCUCAAAGAGUUGGCCAUGA
rnacentral:lncRNA from 1 species